rnacentral:rRNA from 1 species
AGAGUUUGAUCAUGGCUCAGAGCGAACGCNNGGCGGCGUUAACACAUGCAAGUCGAACGCGCAGCAUUCUGUAGCAAUACAGGGUGUGGGCGCGUGGCGAACGGGUGCGUAACACGUGGAUACCUUCCUUGAGGUGGGGAAUAACCCAGUGAAAAUUGGGCUAAUACCGCAUAACAUCGCGAUGGCACAUGCUGAUGCGAUCAAAGGCGCAAGUCGCCACAAGAGGGAUCCGCGGCCGAUUAGCUUGUUGGCGAGGUAAUGGCUCACCAAGGCAAUGAUCGGUAGCCGGACUGAGAGGUUGGCCGGCCACACUGGAACUGAGACACGGUCCAGACUCCUACGGGAGGCAGCAGUGGGGAAUCUUGCACAAUGGACGAAAGUCUGAUGCAGCAACGCCGCGUGGGGGAUGAAGCUUCUCGGAGUGUAAACCCCUUUCGACCCGGAAGAAUGCCCGCAAGGGUAUGACGGUACGGGUAUAAGAAGCCCCGGCUAACUACGUGCCAGCAGCCGCGGUAAUACGUAGGGGGCCAGCGUUGCUCGGAAUUACUGGGCGUAAAGGGUCCGUAGGCGGUGUAGCAAGUCGAUAGUGAAAUCUCUGGGCUUAACCCAGAGGCUGCUAACGAAACUGCUGUGCUAGAGUGUGAGAGAGGCGAGUGGAAUUACGGGUGUAGCGGUGAAAUGCGUAGAUAUCCGUAGGAACAUCCGAGGCGAAGGCGGCUCGCUGGAUCACAACUGACGCUGAGGGACGAAAGCUAGGGGAGCAAACAGGAUUAGAUACCCUAGUAGUCC